GUGGUUCAACUGAUUUGAAGAGCUUGCUCAGAUAUGACGAUGGACAUUGCAAAGAGUGGCGAACGGGUGAGUAACACGUGGGAAACCUACCUCUUAGCAGGGGAUAACAUUUGGAAACAGAUGCUAAUACCGUAUAACAAUAGCAACCGCAUGGUUGCUACUUAAAAGAUGGUUCUGCUAUCACUAAGAGAUGGUCCCGCGGUGCAUUAGUUAGUUGGUGAGGUAAUGGCUCACCAAGACGAUGAUGCAUAGCCGAGUUGAGAGACUGAUCGGCCACAAUGGGACUGAGACACGGCCCAUACUCCUACGGGAGGCAGCAGUAGGGAAUCUUCCACAAUGGGCGAAAGCCUGAUGGAGCAACGCCGCGUGUGUGAUGAAGGGUUUCGGCUCGUAAAACACUGUUGUGAAGGAAGAACGGCUAUCAUAGGUAAUGAUGAUAGAGUGACGGUACUUUACCAGAAAGCCCCGGCUAACUACGUGCC
rnacentral:rRNA from 1 species